rnacentral:rRNA from 1 species
UACGUAGGGUGCGAGCGUUGUCCGGAAUUAUUGGGCGUAAAGAGCUCGUAGGCGGCUUGUCGCGUCGUCCGUGAAAACCAGGGGCUCAACCCCUGGCUUGCGGUCGAUACGGGCAGGCUAGAGUUCGGUAGGGGAGACUGGAAUUCCUGGUGUAGCGGUGAAAUGCGCAGAUAUCAGGAGGAACACCGGUGGCGAAGGCGGGUCUCUGGGCCGAUACUGACGCUGAGGAGCGAAAGCGUGGGGAGCGAACAGG